GACCUCUGACUCCCAAGCCCGGGCUCUUUCCACUGAGCCACGCUGCUUCUCUUGGGGAAGUCAGGGACUGGUUACCUGUGCCAUAUCAGUCCCCGAUUUUCCUAGUAUCAAUCAGUCAACGGUUACCGAGCACCCACUAUGUGCUUAUACUAAGCACUCGGAUGAGUACGGCAGAGGUGCGGACAGGUGGAAGGACGUAUGGAAGAUAUUGGCAGAGGGAACAAUGCACGAUGGGGAAAAGUCAUAUUGAGAAGGGCUGGAGCAGCGUCUUCAGAAAUCCAAAGGAAGAUUGCUGCAGUCUAUCAGCUUCCUCCGCACUGAGGCGGGCAGUUAUCAGACCCAAAGAACAUCCGACCGAGCGGCGCUGCUCUGAACCAUUCUUGGCCCAACACUGCAGCACAGACCAUAAUCCAAGUUUCAACUCCCAGGGUGCCCUCUCCUCAUCCCUGGGCUGAGAUGAACCAAUGGAUGAUGAGUGGAUCCUGGAGGAAUCAAGUUUCUUCACCACCUGCUGAAAUUUUGGGAUUCAAAAACCUUUCUUCAAUAUUCAAGAAAGUGGAUGAAUUUAUAAAUAUGCUCAGAGAAGACCCUAAUGGAGAGAAAAUUUC